UACGUAGGGUGCAAGCGUUGCCCGGAUUUAUUGGGCGUAAAGGGCGCGUAGGCGGCUCUGCACGUUCGUUGUGAAAUCGCCCGGCUCAACUGGGCGGGGUCAGCGGAUACGGCAGAGCUUGAGCAAGCUAGGGGGCAAUGGAAUUCCCGGUGUAGUGGUGGAAUGCGUAGAUAUCGGGAGGAACACCGGUGGCGAAGGCGGCUAUCUGGACUGUGAUUGACGCUGAGGCGCGAAAGCGUGGGGAGCAAACAGG
rnacentral:rRNA from 1 species